CCUACGGGUUGCUGCAGUGAGGAAUAUUGGUCAAUGGCCGGGAGGCUGAACCAGCCAAGUCGCGUGAGUGAAGACGGCCCUACGGGUUGUAAACCUCUUUUGUCAGGGAGCAAGGUGCAGGUCUGGACCUGCUGUGAGAGUACCUGAAGAAAAAGCAUCGGCUAACUCCGUGCCAGCAGCCGCGGUAAUACGGAGGAUGCGAGCGUUAUCCGGAUUUGUUGGGUUUAACGGGUUCGCAGGCGGAGGCACAAGUCAGUGGUAAAAUCGCGGGGCCCAACCCCGCGCCGCCGUUGAAACUGUGUGCCUUGAGUGUGCGAAGGGUAGGCGGAAUGCGUGGUGUAGCGGUGAAAUGCAUAGAUAUCACGAAGAACUCCGAUCGCGAAGGCAGCCUACCGGCGCGCAACUGACGCUCAGGUACGAAAGCGUGGGUAUCGAACAGGAUUAGAUACCCUUGUAGUC
rnacentral:rRNA from 1 species